UGGGGAAUAUUGCAUAAUGGGCGCAAGCCUGAUGCAGCCAUGCCGCGUGUGUGAAGAAGGCCUUCGGGUUGUAAAGCACUUUCAGCGGGGAGGAAGGCGAUAAGGUUAAUAACCUUGUCGAUUGACGUUACCCGCAGAAGAAGCACCGGCUAACUCCGUGCCAGCAGCCGCGGUAAUACGGAGGGUGCAAGCGUUAAUCGGAAUUACUGGGCGUAAAGCGCACGCAGGCGGUCUGUCAAGUCGGAUGUGAAAUCCCCGGGCUCAACCUGGGAACUGCAUUCGAAACUGGCAGGCUAGAGUCUUGUAGAGGGGGGUAGAAUUCCAGGUGUAGCGGUGAAAUGCGUAGAGAUCUGGAGGAAUACCGGUGGCGAAGGCGGCCCCCUGGACAAAGACUGACGCUCAGGUGCGAAAGCGUGGGGAGCAAACAGG
rnacentral:rRNA from 1 species